GGCCGUGUGGCUCAAUGGCAGAGUGUUUGACUACGAUUCUUAGUGAUCAAAAGGUUGCAGGUUCGAGUCCUGCCUCGGUCA